GGAUGUGAGGGUGAUCUGGGUGCAACAUCUGUCACCCCAUUAAUCACCAGGGUUGAUUCAGCUGACCUGGCUGGUUAGUCGGGUGUCCCCUUCCUCCCUCACUCUUCCAUGUAUGUCCCUCCUGAAGCUGCAUGCUUGGUCUAAGGGGAUGACCAUCCCUAUUAAAGGAGGACCAGUCUUUGGUCAAGGGUAUACAAGCAACUGCACUCCCCUGCUAGAACCUCCAAACAAGCUCUCGAGGAAUAUAAAGUGUUCUGUUAUAAAGACACAUAAACAUAAAUGUUCAUUGAAGCACUAUUCACAAUAGCAAAAACAUGGAAUCAACCUAAAUGUCCAU
rfam:Callithrix jacchus chromosome X, whole genome shotgun sequence